rnacentral:lncRNA from 1 species
AGGUUAAUGCAUUUUAUGAACAAGAACAACAACAACAACAAAAAAAAAACCACAGAAAAGUUUGUUCAUUGGCCCAUUUUCUUUCUCCCAGAUUUCAGCUUUGGAAUUAAUACAUUAAGGUAAUCCUUGUAGUUUUGGGGUUUAUUUUAGCACAGUCUGUUCCAAAGACAAAUUACUGUAAGGGAAAAAAAAAAAUAAGCCAAAGCUGAUCUGACCUACACAAGACGGGAAGCGAGACUGCUCGAUUCUGCCACUGCUGAGAUGAAUGUCAAAUCUCCCCGUUACUUCCAGCUUUAUUCUGAGUGUUGCUGCUUAGUUUAACUCAAAAUCCUUAUCGCAGCGGGAUCAUAAGGGUGGCAGAUCAAUCCAUACCAACGGAACAUACCCACUGCAAAUUAACACGCAGUGUACGUGUGUAUAGAUAGGGACACGGCACACGAGCUGCCAAUUAUGUCGUGCUUUAGAGGAAACUGCAGAGAAAAAGUCACGAAGAGAAGGCUGCCUGGUGAGGUGUCUCGAGAUGUAAAUGGCUCCUGCUGAAAAGGCAAUUGAGGUUGUUGUUACAGGACUGGAGGGAAUCUAACAUAACACAGGAACAGCUGAACCAGGUGCUUGAAACAAGACUUCAUUGCUGAGCUACAGGGAUUAAGGGAAGGGAUUUUAUUUGCCUGCUGCAGUUAGAUGCAGCGUCCUCAAGGACCCCAGAAUUUGCAUGGAAACAUGGAGGAGAGGAGAGAGGAAAUAACCUUUACAGAAAGAAAAUCAGUCAAAUCAUCUUUAUCAUUCAAACAAAAGAUGACAGGAAAUGAACAGGUGACUUCAAGGAUGAAAAAAAUACUCUUCUGCCAAUUCAAGAAAAGAUAAUGGAUGAGGUGUUACAGAACCUGUAGGUGAAUUUGAGUUUUCAUUAUAACCAUCUUUACCAAAGAUCUUUAUCAUGCAACAAACUACAUUUUGAGAACAAUGCCUGGAAUAAAGAGGGGAAGAAAAUGUUUAAUACUGUUACUUCCUCUAAGUAAGAUCACAGAAUCAUCGAAUCAUAAAAGGUUGGAAAAGACCUCUAAGAUCAUCAAGUCAGCCAUCAGCCAUCACCACCAUGCUCGCUUUGGAGGAUGCCAAAGCAGACACAGAACUGAACAGCAGUCUCAGAUUGUGAUACAUCAUGCUUUUAGAAUUGUUAUUCUCUCCUGAUUCACCUUGUUGCAACUGUAACGAUGCCUGUAGUCCCAGAAGUGGGAGCAAGAAGAGAUCAUUACAACUGGGGCAUUUAUUUCCUCUCUGCCUAUCAAAGAGAUGAGCCUCUGGACAGCAAAUUUAGUGGUAUUUUACUGGAUACAGAUGCAGAGCACUGCACAUCUCUUCUUCCUGCAAUAUAACAGCAGUGGAGAGUUCAGCUGAGAGAACAAACUUUGAGAAGAUAUCUCACUCCUGUAGGACAGUGAAAUAGUUGUCCAAAUCACAAUGUGGGACUCAGAGCCAUGGCCUAGAACAAGAGAAGGGUAUAUACCUUGUCUUUCUUAUUCUUACAAGGAAAGAUCAAGAUACAUCCAUAUGUGACUUUUGACAAUUCAAGAAAGAAAACUUCAAAUGCUCAGGUGUUUGAUCUUUAUUUUUUUAUAACCUAUCAAAACCACAGGAUCUGUAAGCAUUCCUUCAGCCCUAAAUGGUUUCUUUCUCUUUUCCAUUUUUCAUAUAGAAUCAUAGAAUCAUAGAAUGGCCUGGGUUGAAAAGGACCACAGUGAUCAUUGAGUUUCAACCCCCCUGCUAUGUGCAGGGUUGCCAGCCACUAGACCAGGCUGCCCAGAGAAUUUUUUUAUUCCAGUAAAGGAGGAGGCCUUUCUUUUGUUGAGAAACCAAAUGUAAAAGAGUAGAAGAUUUUUACAAGAAGCAAACUUGUAAAAAUGGCAUCCUGGGGUUCCCCAUUUGUUACAUUGCAAUUGUUUCUAGAUCAAACCUGUUCAGUUCAGCACUGAAAGGAUGGGUUUGCUGCUGUCCAUCACUGAGAGCUCUACUAAAGUAAAGCCUGAUACUUUCUGGGUCAUACUCUCUAAAAAUAAGUCACAAUGGGAAUGCUAAAAAAAACUAACUUACAACAUGUGAAUCAGAACUCCAGUUGCCUUCUACUUCUGCAGGGCUAAGAAAAACCCCUCAAGUACAGCAAUAGGUUAUUUAAAGACCGAAGUAAAUAGAUCUGACUGCAAGCAGACACAGGAAACAGAUCAAUGUCUCAUGAUGAUGAAAUCUAUGUAGUAAGUUUUGACAAGAGCCACAUGCUGGGGCUCAUCCAACAGGGAUCUUUCCACCAGGUAUUUGUUGAAACCUAUAAAGAUGCAGAUUAGCUUCAGUUGAUGCAGGGAAGUGAUUUUUUUUUCAUACAUCCUAUAAACUUUUAUAUUUUUGGCGGGGAGACUGAAAGUGCAUGAAUGCAUAGUAUUUUUUGCAGGCAGACAUAGCUUUAUUCCAAUCCUACCUCAGACUCUCAACCUUUUAUCUCUUAGACUUACUGCCAUGCCAGCUGUGGUUACAUGACUUCCAGUUUGCUUGGAUCAGGGCAGAGACAGGCUAUGUGUGCUUGUCAAACACAAAUACGUGCUAGAACCUGCAGCUAGAGUCCAGGAAAAGGUCUUUGACAUAACAAACAUACCUGUGUAGUCCAAGACCUCCACAGCUCCAAGAUGUACUACUGCCAUGACCUCAGAUUGUUGCUAUGAUGCUUUUUAUAGGGAUUUGAUGACAUCAGCUAGCACUAAUGUGAUAUUUUCCUAAGAGCUGUAGUAGAGGUAGAUGUGUAAAGUCAAAGCUUCUCUCUCAUAGCACUGGACCCACCUGGUGAGUACAAGGCUCCCUCAGGGCAAUGCCAUUUGUACUUUGAUCUGUGUUCAUGAGCACCAGGGCACACAGGAGCCCAGGGAGAAGGGCUGCCCUGGUUUCUUUCUAUUCUUCUUUGGUGUCAGCAUGCUCACCAUGUUGCUGCUCCUCACAAAAACUCAUCAGCUGGAAACAUGUCUAGAAAUGAAGCAGAGCUCUGAAAGCAACACUACUGCAUGCAGGACUGAGCAGCAGCUCCCAGUUUCUGCAAGUUUUUGGUUCUACUCUGUCAACCACCUUAGAACCAAAUUUGUAAAGAAAUGUAGAGGAAAUGAGAAAUUAAAAGGCCAAAUCUGGAAAAAAAAAAAGUCUUCCACUUCUGUUACUCAAACACUUGGAGAGAAGCCAAAAGGCAGAUACAGUAAUAAUACAACUUUUGGAAAAUGUGGAAUAAUAAUAGAAGCUAGAUUUAUUUAGAUCUCCAAUGGUGGAGACUACCUAGACCAUAGAGCAGAAGGGAUUAAAAAAAAACAACCACAUACUCUGAUAUUUGAGAUUUUUGUUUUUAACGUAUCAGACAAAACCAUUGUGAGAUUGAGAAUGGAAGCUGAAGCCUACACAAAGUCAGACUGGAAGAAAGGUGACAACUUUACCUUGAUAACAGCCCAUCACUGCAGGAAUAUCUCAUGUAUGGUUUCCCCAACAGUUAAUCUUUAAAUUUUUUAAAAUUUGAUUUCUUUAUAAAAGAUAGGCUUUUAUUUACUAUUUUAGUCUGGCCUGUACUAUGCAGGAAGCCAGAUUAAAUCAUCAUAAUAUUCCCUUCUAGCCUUAAUCUACAUAUGAUUAAAACAUAUUAUGUAGUUACCUGUCCAUAUAGAGAUGACCAUCUCCUCCCCACUCAAGUUGAUAUUUUCAAGCCACCAAAUGAAACUAGCCAAGACAAAGUGUGCUUGAUGAAACGGUGCUGCUGUGUGACAGUCAUGUGUCUGUGGGGAUGUCAGUGAGUAAAUCUUGAGGCUGAAAUCCUAAAGCACAAAAGAUACACAGCCAGCGUGGUGUCCCACAGGUGGGUGCAGGUGUGCCACACUCUGGAGGGGACAACCAACCCUUCAGGCCCUUCCUGUAUUCCACCAGUCCUCUGUGAAUAUUGGAGAUGAAAUUUUUGUACACUUUCACAGUAGCAAUCACUGUGAACCUGAGCUCAUUUUCACAAACAAAGCAUGCCCAAUCAACAGUCUCAUUUUUUUUUUCCUGCUUUAUGGAUGUUGAAGCAACAAUUUUGUGCAAAAGGUACAGGUGGGUUUUACGCUCCUGCUGGGCCCCAUGGUAGAGACUCACACAACAAAGGCUUGCAGGUGUUUCCUAUAUCUUUGUGGUUAUUUCUUUCAAACAGCAUCUGUUGAAAUGCAUCUUGCCUCCUGCUUAAAAAAGCCCAAUGCUUGGCAAUGCAGGGUGCUUGCCUUAGCUUUAACUGCCCACCCACACUGAACAUUUUAUGUUAUUUAGAUCGACCAGGGGCACAAUGAGAGCCUUUGACCAGCAAGACUUCCCUUCAGAGUGGGAGGCUCUGGAGGGGGAAAGGUGACCCAGAGAUGUGGUAACAUUUUUCACCUCCACUUCUCUUUCCAGUCGGGCAGCCCCGUCAUAGUUGGCACUGACCGCACUACCACCUGCUGCGUUCCAGCAGAAAUCCACACAAAACCUGGCUUGUCUUUGGGUAAUUGCACUUGUAAAGUAGAAGCAGCUCAUUUAAGCACUACACACGGCAUCUUAUUAAGCACCUCGUGAUACAUAAAAUUAAGACAACUGAAAGAAAAUUUCCGAAAAAGCCUUCUAUACGGUUUGUGACCACAGCUUGAUUUGUAUCUGGUGAAGUUUUCCUGGGUGAUGAGUCCAUAAUUCCCAUCACCUUUUGGAAAAAGUCUGAUUUAACUUUAUUUUGCUUCAAUAAUAACUACUAAUGUUGUGUUAACCAAUCAAAAGAGAACAAGUGGUCAAAGCAAGACCUAGAGAAACAGACCCAGAACACAUCUAACCUGAAGUAGAUGUAGGUUGAACAUGAUUUGGUUCUGAAUUCUCAGCAUGAGCUAUAAGUAAUUAUAACUAAAUCCCCUGGGCAAACUGAUCUACGUGUGGUGGCCCCAUUCAAUGCAGGGGAGUUGGACUAAAUGGCCCUUGGAGGUCCCUUCCAACUCUAAGGAGUCUAUGAUUCCAUGAUUAUGAUUCUAAUUCAGGCAUGCAAAGUGGUCUGGGAGGGAACUGGAUGUCAGGUGGUAGCACUGGGCAGUACAAUCUACCUCGAUCUGUGAAUUUCAUUGUAGGAAGAGCAUUAUGUUGUUUUGGUGUUUGUUUGUUUUCCUUAUUUUUUUUUUUAAUUUCUUUAUAGUUUCUUUUUCUUUAAGAUAUGAUUUAGAAACCACUGGGAGUUACUUGGAUGCUGCCUUCCAAAUUCAGUGCUUUUAUUUUUUAAUAUUGUAGUGGAAAUGCUAAGUCACAGCUUGAAGCAGUGAUUGAGCACCUGGUGGAAGGCAGGGCCAACUCAGGUGAGCUCAGGUGCAUGCAAUGCAGCUGAGUGAUCAGAAGGACUGGAGCCAGGAUCCACCCCUUCCCAGCCCUCAUUUAAGGGUUGGCAGUGGAGGCAAGGAUAUCUUCCUAGAGUUUUCUACCUACCUGAGUCUUUCCAAAGGUCAACUGCAUUUAAACAACUGCUAGAUAAACUGCCCAUAACUUGAAAUGCUGGAUGAAAAACAUAUGUUGUACUUCCUCUACAAAGUUGUUCUAUAUCAUUUUUAACCAAGUUUUGGAUUGAAGAGGUGAAUUAUUGCACUGCAUACAACUACGGGCCACACACUCAGUGCUGCCACCCAUAAACACCUUACCUCAUAUUGAAGGACUGGUGACACAAGGCUGUACCCAACAUCAUGCAGGGCUGUGUGAUGACUGAUUCCAGUGAAUGAAAGGUAAUGUUCAUAACCACAGGCUCUUGACCUGGUGGUGACCCACUCACUCUCCUUUUAAGAGGCUUCUAUGAGGGGAAGAAAACCCACACCGGAGCACUUGUUUGGGUAGUUUUCUGAGAGGCACGGGGAAUCUCAUUAGCCUUGAAAGAGAUUUUCCUGAAUCUAAGUAAGGUUCCUACAUUUUUUUGGAUUCAUUGUGCCUUUGUAGUUAAAUUAACCAGAAUAGCUUUCAGAUGCCUGUGCAGCCAUUUAGGAACAAUAGUGGCCAUUCUGUCCCGAGAUGCACUAAAAGCAUGGAACAGCUCUUUCUGUAGUAUGAAAGCAAACAUAGUGCUCGAGUGGUCUGGAUGAACACUGAAACACUUGGAACAAUAUAACCUAGGGGUUACCUCAGCCAUCUUAAACACCGCAAAAUCUCUCCUGGAUGGCUGUAAUUGGAAAAACAGCACAAGACAAAGGAACUAAAGAACUAGCAGUGGGGGAAGUUAACUCAGGUAAAAAAUAAAUCUAACAAGAGAAGAUGGAACUGAAUUGACUGUAAAGCCAGACAGUUAAAACUUCACAGAGCUCACUGAUGGAACAACAAACAUAAGACAAGGAAAAAUAGUAUGGGAAAUAUACAAGUUAACACUCUUGGAAUAUGAAGUGAAAGCAGGUAUCCAAAGGUGGUAGAGUCACUGAAAGGGCACUUUUACACACGUUCCCCCUCAGAGGAAAUCCUACUGUUAUUUCUGAGUGAGUCAGCCAGGGCUUAUUCCACAGAAUGAGCACAUAUGUUGCAGAAAGCCUUCCCAGUGAAAUGCAAUGAAGAUGGAGCAAUUGGGGUGAUGGGCACCAGCUGAGGUCUGGGCAGUGCCUUGGUUCUGCCAUGGGAGGUUCUGCCACCCAGCUGCACCCAGUAGCUGCAAGGGCAAUGUGUUUGUCUCUGGGAUUUAUGCUUUGAUUGAUGUGUGCUUAGGUCUGUAUUUAGAAGAGUAGGAGACAGAAGAGGAAUUAAGCAAAAAAUGUAAGGAUUUGGGGGCUUUCAGUACAGGUUUAAAGAUGAGAGAAAAGAAAACACAGAAAGACAAUAAAAUUCCUCAACAUGUUAGAACAUAUCAAAAGGUCUAUAUAGAAAGAAUACACAGCCAUUGCGUGGUUCAAGUCAGCCAAUUUGUUCAGAUGUUGAUAAGAGCUAUGCUGCUUUCAGUAAUAUAAGAAGCACAAUGCCUUACUGCCAUUGAAAUUGGUCCCCCUCAAAGUUCAUGCUUAGGUCUGAGAAACUGGCUAUGUUUUUUUAACAAGCAGUGUAGAGGGGACAGUGAAUGUAAUGGUGGCAACCACCUUGUGUCUUCCCUUCCAGGGAGCAGGUGUCAAGGAUGCUGAAGGAGGAGAAGGGAUGUGACAGCUGUCUGCAGCUCAGGAUGCAUUAAGUGAUGACUGGGUGGUCUGCGGUACGAUCUGGGACAGAGGAACCACGCAGAGAGCACAGAACACACAGGGCAGAAAGAUUGAAACAUGCUAAACCCUUGAAUACCCCCCAUGACAAAAACACAAGUGAAAUAUUGUCACAACAUUUUAUGUAUUAGUUUGGACAGGAAGAAGAUGAUUUGUAAAGGGAUAUGUUUUCACAGGUAGCAUUACACACACACCCCACUUUCCCAAAUUGUUUUUAAUUGGCUUGCAAUCAGUUUUGUCUAGUCUCCCACCUGUCAGCCAUGAAGACCAACUUACUCCAUCAAAGUCCUGUAACUUUGUGAAGAACACAUUUCUGAGCAAGUCCUCUCCAUAAUGUUACAUUUAUGUUGUGUGGCACCUCGAGCAAUGCUUUGUGCUUUCCCUGUUUCAGAGCUUUGUGAACAGAAUGUCUGGACCUGCAGAUGUUCACCCUCCCACGAGUGCUGGCCUCUACUGCAAAUUCUUGUUGCUGUCUUGUCCUUGGGAAGAGCCUUAGAUAUACAGGCUUAUCAUAGUGAUUUAAACACAGCUACCUGCGGAUGUGAUGGAUUUCCUUUAUUUGCAGUCUCCCAGUCAAGACUAGAUGGAUAUCUAAGAGGCAUGUUGUAGCUCAAACAGAGAGAGGUGCUUGGUGCAGAAAUUAUAGGGUCAGAUUCAAAGGCUGGUGUUGUGUGGGAGGUCAGGCAAGGUGAGUGUGUACUUCCAACCACUGCAUCUACACUGUAAAUUUCAAAGCUGUCUGUAAAACUAGGAAAUGCAGAAGGAAUUUAAUGCAAAGCGUUUACCUUUCCUUUUGUCUGAGAUGUAACCCAACGUUUUGCCUUUCCACCACAUCAUUGUGAAAGGAAAUUAAUUUCCCUGCUCACUGAUUAUACUGGAACUAUUUAAAGCAAAUUCUCAGCUACCACAUACUUGAUCAUAGAAACUUUCUUAACCCCAAAGCUCUCUCGUUUCAACGCUUUCCUCCAACAAGAACUCCACCAGAAACAAAAAUAACUUCUCUUUCUAACCUUUCAACCCAGGACUCCCUACUCAGCUUUAAAUGCAAUCCCAAGGAAGAGAAUUUAUCUAUACUUUUUCUUCCUUUAGGCAGUUACUCACCUGUUUUCAUCUGGCCUUUCUUCAGCCUUGAGCCUGGAAGGAGCAGGUUCACACAGUGCUCAGAGUAUCAACAAAUGAAGGGGGGACUGCCUGCAGAGAAGUGUAGGCCUGAGUUUGUUAAAUCCUCAGAGAAAGGAUGGAGCAGAUAGAUAUAUGCAUAAGGCAGGCAGAAUUGAUAUUAUUUAUUCCUCUUUGGCAGAGUCUGGACAGAAGAGACAGUAGAAAGUACGUCCAUUUCAUCAGACUGGAUGUGUUCAAAGGUGAUAACAGAAGCUGAAUGAACUUGGCUGCCACUGUCCCCGCCUACAGCCAAAGACUGAAUUUGGUGAUGGCCCUCCUUGAGUAGAGCCAAGUGGUGCUCCAUAGCCAAGACUGUCAGCCCAAAAGAGUUGCUGAUCAGCCUGGUCUCAUGUUCCAAGAAUGAAACCCUGGCAUGGAAGUGGCAUAUCUGCCAGUUAAUGUCAACAUUUGAUGUGCAGUCAGAGAGCAAACAAGGUUUCAUAUUGUGGUAAAAAGGGAAAUACUGUUUGCUUUAAUUCUAGUUUCUUUGUGUCAGAUGUAUUAAGAGUCUCAUAAAAUAGUGAAAGAAUUUCAUUCUUACUUACAAUUAUAAGAAGCAUAUAUAUAUAUAUAUACACACACAUAUACAUACACACACAAUAUACCUACUUCUACAAGUACAAACAAAAUGUAAAAUCUAGCUAGUAAUGAAUAGCUUGAAACAUCCUUUUCAGAAAACAUUAUAAUACAAGACUCCAGUGACUUUAUCUAACGCUCAGUUACUAAGACGGGGAAGAGAACACUUAACUGUGAAUGAGCUUCCCUAUAGCAAAAGGAAAGUGCUCCCAGACUGAAAAAUAGGCAGGGACAGACUAAGAUAUCAUGUAGAGUGGGUACAGCUUGCUGUCCAGCUCUCACCAGCCAUGUGUAUAUGACAGUUAAUCCAUGUGCUUUAUUGUCCUCCAGUCUUCUGGAUGAGAGAUCACAGGAGAUCACAUUUCAAACAGUGAUGUCCCAAGUGUGGGAAGAACAGAGCAAUGGGACUCUCACUGCUGUAGGAGGCAGUGCUCAGCACCACAGGAGAUAGUCCUGAGCUCCCAAGGACAAUAAUUAAUGACAACCAGCACUGGCACAGCACUUCUGUUGAGUCUCAGAGCAGAAACACCUGCAGCAUAUCCCACCCUGGCAGGGAAAUGGAGCUGGUGACCUAACAAUCUUUCCCACCUCUAACUUCUGGGGCUUUAUGAAUCGUCAGUCACACCUAGGUGUGAUAUCGCUAUAAAAUCCCAGUCACGUAAGAGAGCUGGCAGGAAGCUCUGGCUGUGCAACUCUGUGGUUUUAUGCUUAGCUGUGUUCUAAAUACUGAAAGAAUGAAGUAGACUUUCAAGCAUCAGCGUUGACAGUUGCUUUCAGAGAUAUUCAAACAAACAAAAUCCAGUCACCUAGACAGCAAAACCAGCUGCAGCUUGGGCUACAGCACAAACGUGACUUUUUGUUUUAAAAAGAAAGCCAUCACUAUCUAAAUGCCACCUGUGGUGUGGUGUGACUAAUACUGCUCUUCUUCAAGAGGUUGGCAAGGGCCUCUUUAUAGACUCAUAAAACCAUAGAAGCAUUUGGGUUGGAAAAGACCUUCAAGAUCAUUGAAGUCCAACCAUCAAACUCACCUACCAAGUGCCACCACCAAACCAUGUCCCUUAGUGCUGCAGAACAUCCCCAGAGGAAACAUGAGCACUGUGCCCAGCGCCAGCUCUGUACUUCACACAGAGGGUGGUGAUGCACUGAACAGGUUGCCCAAGGAGGCUAUGGAUGCCCCAUCCCUGGAGGCAUUCAAGGCCAGGCUGGAUGUGGCUCUGGGCAGCCUGGUCUGCUGGUUGGCGACCCUGCACACAGCAGGGGGUUGAAACUAGAUGAUCACUGUGGUCUUUUUCAACCCAGGCCAUUCUAUGAUCCUAUGAUUGACUAUGGACUAUGGGUGACAUCUACCUGUGAUUGCUGCCAUCUUAACACUAGGGCAGAGCUCAGUACAUUUCUCUACAUGGUGUGUUGCAAUAGGAAAGUUUCUUUCCUUCUCCUCCUCCAAAGUCCUGCAACGGGAAAAGAAAACAUGGGAAACCGUGUCUUCAAAUCAUACACCCAUACUUCAUCUCAUUGUAUAAUCAUCACAAAAAUCUGGUGGUGAGCUGUACUGUAUCUGUGUUUUGUCUGGAGGUUGGAAGUGGUUUUAACGAUUUAAAUCAUGGUAAAGAAAAGGGCCACUCAAAACACAGAGCUGGAAAGCAGAACCGCUUCGGUGUCUGCAGUAUUCUAAACUAGAUUUUGGUCCAGGUCCUGCUCCACUGUGUCCUCGUGUUGGGAAAGUAUAUUCAGAGCUGACAUGGCUUUCCCAGGUGUUUUCUACUGGGACAAAGUGCAGAGAAUGCAGUUAAUCACGAGUGCAUUCAAGUGUCCUAAGGUCUUUGGGUGAAAGCUGUUAGAGACAUUGAAAAAGUGUUUAAUAAUCACAGCCCCAUGUCCUCAGCACAGGCUUUUUGGGUUCACAAAAGUUCAAACACCUUUUAAGAAAUUUAGGCCAAAAUGUAAGCAGGCCAGAGCCAUGCAGCAGUUCCAAUGGCAACGGGGACAGCGCUUUGUUGAACCAUUUUCAGGAUCAUGACUACUGGGUAAGAUGCAUGCUGAGUGGUGCUGCUUUUAUAAACCACAGCAGGCACAAAGGUACUGUGUGCAGUUUCCUAUAGUUGACAUAAAGAUAUAUACAUUUUUCUUUUCAACAGUCUCACUUCUACACAGUUUCAAUUAGAAGUGCAUAUAACAACAAUCCCCAAGAAGAUUCAACAUUGGGUCUUUCAACUGACUGUCAACACAUCCUGUUCUUCCUCAUUUGCAAUACUUGUCCCUAAAAACAAACUGGACAUAAAAGGUACCUGUUUUUUUCAGCAAAAAUGAGACUCAUGGAUGAGAAUUAAGAAAACACAAGUUUUGUAGCAACUAUGAAAGCUGCAACCUCAGCUAAAAGAAAACAUAAAUAUUUCCCUGCUCUCUAUUUUCCUGUCUUUCCAUUGGUUCCUCGGACAAUCCUCGGGGAUAGUAUUGAGGCAUACACACACUUAAUUGCAUGCAAGAGGCUGUUAUUGUGCUAUUGCACUGUAUGGAGUGCUAUGGCCGAGCAAGGGAGAUGUGAAACUCACUACAGAUAAAGGAAUUUCUUGCCAAAAGAAAGGAAAAGAUAGCAUCUAUUUCCUAUAAAGAGAGGCAAUUGGAGAGCUGCCUUAUGUUAAUUUGAUUCUUAGAAAAAGGAUAAAAUCACUACAAAUGAAACAGUCACACCUCCUGUAACGAUUUCCUGUUUUGUUUUGCCUUUUUCCCUAGCUUAAGUCUAUACUUAUGAAAUGCUUUUGGAUUAUGUAAAAACAUUGCAGAGGAUUUUAUUGCCUCUUGUUGUACUGGCUAAGAGUUACCCAAACCAUCCACAGAUGGAAGAAGAAGUGGUUAUCUGCAACUUCUGGAGUAGCUAGAAGGAAGUGGUGUUCUAAACUAUGGUUAUUUAACCAAAGGAGCUCAAAAUGAGUGGGAAAUACUUGUGUUCCACACAGCAUUAUUGUACACUACGUAUCAAAUACAACCAAUAGAGAAAGACAAAUAACCUGGGAAUGGCAAACGCUUCCAGUGAAUUACAAAUAUGUUUUAGAGUGACCUGAAUCGCAUUUCAAAGCGCUCAGAAUAUUAUCCCACUAAUUCAAGUGUUUACCGUGGAUCCAGUCUCACUGCCUCCAUUCAUGUGAGCAGUCCCAUCCAUAGCAAGAAGACUGCAGAGGUAAAGGCCAUUCCUGAGUACCCAUUUUCAGAGUACCCGCUGUUCUUUCCUUACAUGCUUUAAAAUUAAAAUGUUACAUUUACAGUCACAUUUUCUAUCGCAAAGAGUUUUUCAAACAGUCUACAUCUCCUACCUGGUUAAUCUUUACAGAAAAGAUCCAUCAUAAACACAGACAUUACUUUUUGACAAACAUUUGGAUUUUUUUUCAACAGUUUUUCUUUGGGUCAGAAAAUGAAAUCAUUAUUUUAAUGUCAACAUGUAAACAACAAUAAAAGUCUUUAAACUAUACCAUCAUAUUUUUUAAUACAAAG